AAACUUGAGAGUUUGAUCAUGGCUCAGAACGUACGCUGGCGGCACGCCUAACACAUGCAAGUCGAACGAAGUAGCAAUACUUAGUGGCAGACGGGUGAGUAACAUGUAGGUAUCUACCCUUUGGCCUGGAAUAACACGAGGAAACUUGUGCUAAUACCGGAUAAGUCUUUACAGAGAAAGCUUUAUGCACCAUUGGAUGAGCCUGCACUUGAUUAGUUUGUUGGUGGGGUAAUGGCCUACCAAGACUGUGAUCAAUAGCUGAUUUGAGAGGAUGAUCAGCCACAUUGGGACUGAGACACGGCCCAAACUCCUACGGGAGGCAGCAGUGGGGAAUCUUGCACAAUGGAGGAAACUCUGAUGCAGCGAUGCCGCGUGAGUGAAGAAGGCCCUUGGGUUGUAAAGCUCUUUCGUCGGGGAAGAAAAUGACUGUACCCGAAUAAGAAGGUCCGGCUAACUUCGUGCCAGCAGCCGCGGUAAUACGAAGGGACCUAGCGUAGUUCGGAAUUACUGGGCUUAAAGAGUUCGUAGGUGGUUGAAAAAGUUGGUGGUGAAAUCCCAGAGCUUAACUCUGGAACUGCCAUCAAAACUUUUCAGCUAGAGUAUGAUAGAGGAAAGCAGAAUUUCUAGUGUAGAGGUGAAAUUCGUAGAUAUUAGAAAGAAUACCAAUUGCGAAGGCAGCUUUCUGGAUCAUUACUGACACUGAGGAACGAAAGCAUGGGUAGCGAAGAGGAUUAGAUACCCUCGUAGUCCAUGCCGUAAACGAUGUGUGUUAGACGUUGGAAAUUUAUUUUCAGUGUCGCAGCGAAAGCGAUAAACACACCGCCUGGGGAGUACGACCGCAAGGUUAAAACUCAAAUGAAUUGACGGGGACCCGCACAAGUAGUGGAGCAUGUGGUUUAAUUCGAAGAUACGCGCAGAACCUUACCAACACUUGACAUGUUCGUCGCGACUCUAAGAGAUUAGAGUUUUCGGUUCGGCCGGACGAAACACAGGUGCUGCAUGGCUGUCGUCAGCUCGUGUCGUGAGAUGUUGGGUUAAGUCCCGCAACGAGCGCAACCCUCACUUUUAGUUGCCAUCAUUAAGUUGGGCACUCUGAAAGAACUGCCAGUGAUAAGCUGGAGGAAGGUGGGGAUGACGUCAAGUCCUCAUGGCCCUUACGUGUUGGGCUACACACGUGCUACAAUGGUAUCUACAACAGGAAGCAAAACUGCGAAGUUAAGCAAAUCCUUAAAAGAUACCUCAGUUCGGAUUGCACUCUGCAACUCGAGUGCAUGAAGCUGGAAUUACUAGUAAUCGUGGAUCAGCGUGCCACGGUGAAUGCGUUCCCGGGUCUUGUACACACCGCCCGUCACACCAUGGGAGUUGGUUCUACCUUAAGGCAAGGUUUCAAACCCUUGACCACGGUAUAGUCAGCGACUGGGGUGAAGUCGUAACAAGGUAGCCGUAGGGGAACCUGCGGCUGGAUUACCUCCUUU
rnacentral:rRNA from 1 species